UACGGGGGGAGCAAGCGUUGUUCGGAUUUACUGGGCGUAAAGGGCGGGUAGGCGGCCACCGCAAGUCAGUUGUGAAAUCUCUGGGCUUAACCCAGAAAGGUCAACUGAUACUGCGGGGCUAGAGUGCAGAAGGGGCAACUGGAAUUCUCGGUGUAGCGGUGAAAUGCGUAGAGAUCAGGAAGAACACCGGUGGCGAAAGCGCUCUGCUAGGCCGCAACUGACACUGAGGGACGAAAGCUAGGGGAGCGAAUGGG
rnacentral:rRNA from 1 species